AUUGAACGCUGGCGGCAGGCCUAACACAUGCGAGUCGAGCGGAUGAAGGGAGCUUGCUCCUGGAUUCAGCGGCGGACGGGUGAGUAAUGCCUAGGAAUCUGCCUGGUAGUGGGGGAUAACGUCCGGAAACGGGCGCUAAUACCGCAUACGUCCUGAGGGAGAAAGUGGGGGAUCUUCGGACCUCACGCUAUCAGAUGAGCCUAGGUCGGAUUAGCUAGUUGGUGGGGUAAAGGCCUACCAAGGCGACGAUCCGUAACUGGUCUGAGAGGAUGAUCAGUCACACUGGAACUGAGACACGAUCCAGACUCCUACAGGAGGCAGCAGUGGGGAAUAUUGGACAAUGGGAGAAAGCCUGAUCCAGCCAAGCCGCGUGUGUGAAGAAGGUCUUCGGAUUGUAAAGCACUUUAAGUUGGGAGGAAGGGCAGUAAGUUAAUACCUUGCUGUUUUGACGUUACCAACAGAAUAAGCACCGGCUAACUUCGUG
rnacentral:rRNA from 1 species